rnacentral:misc_RNA from 1 species
GAUGAAGAACGCAGCGAAAUGCGAUAAGUAAUGUGAAUUGCAGAAUUCAGUGAAUCAUCGAAUCUUUGAACGCACCUUGCACCCUUUGGCAUUCCGAAGGGUAUGCUCGUUUGAGUGUCAUUGUACUCUCACACUCUCCGAUCCUAUGGAUUCGGGGAGCGGUGGACUUGGGUGUUGCUGCCUUUCCUUGUGGCUCACCUCAAAUGUGUCAGUGCACCUCUUGGUUGGACAUAGUACGGCGUGAUAAGUGUCUUCGCCGGCACCGCGCAAGAGGGUGGCCGAUCGGGAGCUCUGUGCUUUCAAACCGUCUUCGGACAAUUUCUGACAACUUGACCUCAAAUCGAGUAGGACUACCCGCUGAACUUAAGCAUAUCAAUAAGCGGAGGA